UAUUAUUGAUAAUGGUGCAACGCAUUAUUUCAUUCUUUGGAUUGUGCUAUAAUAUUGGAUCUUGUUUUAUCUGUUAUGCAUAGAAGUAUAGUUAUUGAUACAACUGCUGUGGCUUUAUUUCUACUCCUUUUGCGUGUUUGAAUUAUCCGUUGAGCAUCUUUGGUAGAGAUUUUGAGAAUUGAUGUAAAUUGUUUCCCGUUAGACCAAGUUGAUGAAAUUAGGUAUGAACUAUUUGGAGUUGAAUCAAGUAAUUGUAACUGUAAGAGAGAUUGUGGAUCUCGGUGUUGUAAGUGAUUUCGAGUGCAAGUUCUGAAGGAACACUAUUAUAUUUUAGUAACGGUGGUUUAUGUUUCAUUAUGGUUGUCGGAUGUCUAUUGACAAAUUGAGGACUUGAUCACCCUUAAUCUAUUGUUGAUAGGAGACGAUAUCAUAUUGAACGAUAUAGACUUGUCUUACUAACUUGGUAGCAUGUAAAGCGACCAAGGAGAAGUUGAAGAGUAGAUUUGAGGAAUUAUUUGAGAGGAGGUUCAUUGUCUGAGUGUAUAGUCGUAGAGUUACCCCUGCUCGUCGAGUAAGAAGAAAGAAAGUUCUAUGAGGUAAUGUUUCUUGAGGAUAUUUGAUUCUAAGAGCGACGAUGAUCAUGUUGAACAUUUAAGGAUUGUGUUAUCGGUGUUGAAAAAGAAGACGGUAUGUAAAGCUUUCUGAAUGUGAGUUUUGGUUGGAAGAAGUGAAUUUUCUUGGAUAUGAGAUUUCGAGUUGAGGUGUGUUGAUGCAGAUAUCGAUAAGUGGUAGCUUAUGCUUCAAGGUAACUUAAAGUUCAUAAGGGGAGUUAUUCGAUGUAUGUAUUGGAGUUGGUUGCCUUUGUGUUUGUUUUGGAAUGUAAGAGGCAUUGUUUGUGUGGAUCAAGGUUUGAUGUGUUGAGUGAUCACAAGAGUUGAAUAUGAGGUAAACAAGACGAGUAGAAUUUUGAAGGAUUUUAAUCUUUGGUUUGAAUUACCAUCCUGGUAAAGUGAAGGUUGUGGCCGAUGCAUUGAGUAGGAAAUAAUUUAAUAAGUUAUGUUGAGGAUUCAAGAAUUGGAAAUCGUUGGAACGAUUUAGAGAGUUGAGUUUGGUUGUGAAGCGACGUCUUCGUGUGUUAAGUUGGUAUGUUGAAGCUUACUUGUGAUAUUAUUGACAAGAUUAUAGAAGGUUAGCAAUCGGAUUUUGUAAUUGGUUGACAAGAUGAUAUUGAUUAAUCAAGGAAAAAAAUGAUAACUUUUGGAUUGUCGAGGAUGGUGUCAUGAGAUGUUGUGAUCGAGUUUAUAUUCCUGAAGGUUCGAAUUCGGACAAAGAGAAUUUUGGAUGAGGAACAUCGUAAUGAUUUGAGUAUUAAUCAUGGUGUUAAUGAUGUAUCGAAAUUUGAGGAAAUGUGUAGUGGUAAAGCAUGAAGAGGGAUAUACUGGAAUCGUGUAUUUGAGUUGGACAUGUCAGACAUCGUUUAGUUGGUGCAACAAUUAUUUUAUUCGAGCGGAAGUGAGAUAAUAUCUCUAUGAAUUUUGUUUCGGGUUGCUGAGAACAUCGAGUAAUUGUGAAGUGAGUUGGGUCAGUGUGGAUAGUUGGCGAAAUGUGCUCGUUUUAUUCUGAUAAAGAUGGAUUAUUCGAUGAAGAGACUUACUAAGUUGUGCAUCGAAAAAAUUAUGUAUUUGCAUGAUAUCUUCUUCAGAUAUUGGAAUGACAUCUUUGAAGCCUUGUGUGGUCGUAAGUGUAGAACGUUUUGUAUCGGUAUGAAUCGAGAGAGAGUGGAUGUGGUUUUGGUGUUGAGAUGGUUGUGUCGACUGAAUUUUCGAGGACGAAAAUAUUUUAAGUGGGGGAGAGUUGUAACAACCCGAAUUUUAUUAUUUGGCUAAUUAAAUUAAAUAAGGAUUUAUUUACUUAAUUUGGACGAAGUUUGAUAAUUAAUUGGAUCGUCGGUGUUAUUGAGAAACGUAUUCAAAUUAUUAAAUGAAGUUAGAAUUUAUUCGGUUAAUCGAAGAAUUAAUAAAGUGGAGUAUGUAGAGAAAUAAUAUUAGAAAUAAUAUUAUUAUUGAAUUUUACUUAUUUGAGAAAAGUCGGAUUUAAUUGGAUUAAUCUGAAUAUAAUAUUAAGGAUAAUAAUAUUAUUUGUUGGAGCAUAUUAUUUAUUGGGCCUAUUUAUUUGAAGUAGAAGUAAUUUGGGGGUGUUAUUUUUCUUAAGCCCAUUAAGAUAAUAAGUUAUUAAGUUAGUAAGGGUUUUAUGAGAAUGGGAGUUACCAUUUCAUUUGCUGAAUUUUUUUUUUAAGAGAAGAGAAAGUGGAGAAAGGAGGCUAAGAGAGGUGAAGAGCAAAAGCUAGGGUUUGAAGAAAUUGAAGAGGUUCUGGAGUUUAGUAGCCGCGUGAGACCUAGCCGGAGGUUCUUCCUUGGUUAUUGGAGACUAGGUAGUGAGUCAAUGCUCUGGUCAUGUAACACUGGGUAGACUAGGUGUAUUGAACUCAUGUUAUAUUUGCGUAUGUAUUAUGCUAUGACUGGUGAACUUAUUUAUUGGUUACAUGUCUUUUGAGAGGCUUACAGGCCAAACCAUUCUGAUUAUUUUUAUGUUGAAUUGAGAUUAUUAGUCGAUGUAUGAUCAUGGUAUGGGACAUGAAUCAGUAUAAAUCACAUGAGUAUCAUAUAUUUCCGCUGUGAAUGCAUAUCCAGGUUAAAUUGUGAUUUGAUAUUGAGUGUUAUUAAAAAUGAUCAGGAGUAUUGUGCUGUAUAGAUAAAUGCUGUCAAUUUUUUUUAAGGUUUUUAGUUCUUCUAAAAACAUCAAUGUGACGCCCUUUUGAAUUAUAUGCAUGUUAUUCUCUGAUUAUUUGUUAAUUAUUUUGGGGUAUAAAAGGGGUGUUACACUUGGGCCUCAUACA